GUCUAUGGCCAUGCUACCCUGAAUGAGCCCAAUCCCGGCUGAUCUCGGAAGCUAAGCAGGGUCGGGCCUGGUUAUUACUUGGAUGGGAGACCACCUAGGAAGAUCAGGUGCUGUAGGUG
rnacentral:rRNA from 1 species